ACUCCUACGGGAGGCAGCAGUAGGGAAUCUUCCACAAUGGGCGCAAGCCUGAUGGAGCAACACCGCGUGAGUGAAGAAGGGUUUCGGCUCGUAAAGCUCUGUUGUUAAAGAAGAACACGUAUGAGAGUAACUGUUCAUACGUUGACGGUAUUUAACCAGAAAGUCACGGCUAACUACGUGCCAGCAGCCGCGGUAAUACGUAGGUGGCAAGCGUUAUCCGGAUUUAUUGGGCGUAAAGAGAGUGCAGGCGGUUUUCUAAGUCUGAUGUGAAAGCCUUCGGCUUAACCGGAGAAGUGCAUCGGAAACUGGAUAACUUGAGUGCAGAAGAGGGUAGUGGAACUCCAUGUGUAGCGGUGGAAUGCGUAGAUAUAUGGAAGAACACCAGUGGCGAAGGCGGCUACCUGGUCUGCAACUGACGCUGAGACUCGAAAGCAUGGGGUAGCGAACAGGAUUAGAUACCCUGGUAGGAUAGCG
rnacentral:rRNA from 1 species